AUUGAACGCUGGCGGCAUGCCUUACACAUGCAAGUCGAACGGCAGCACGGGAGCAAUCCUGGUGGCGAGUGGCGAACGGGUGAGUAAUAUAUCGGAACGUGCCCAGUCGUGGGGGAUAACGUAGCGAAAGCUACGCUAAUACCGCAUACGAUCUAUGGAUGAAAGCGGGGGAUCGCAAGACCUCGCGCGAUUGGAGCGGCCGAUAUCAGAUUAGGUAGUUGGUGAGGUAAAGGCUCACCAAGCCGACGAUCUGUAGCUGGUCUGAGAGGACGACCAGCCACACUGGGACUGAGACACGGCCCAGACUCCUACGGAGGCAGCAGUGGGGAAUUUUGGACAAUGGGCGCAAGCCUGAUCCAGCAAUGCCGCGUGCAGGAUGAAGGCCUCGGUUGGUUAACGUA
rnacentral:rRNA from 1 species